CCUACGGGAGGCAGCAGUGGGGAAUAUUGCACAAUGGGGGAAACCCUGAUGCAGCAACGCCGCGUGAGUGAAGAAGUAUUUCGGUAUGUAAAGCUCUAUCAGCAGGGAAGUAGAAAGACGGUACCUGACCAAGAAGCCCCGGCUAACUACGUGCCAGCAGCCGCGGUAAUACGUAGGGGGCAAGCGUUAUCCGGAUUUACUGGGUGUAAAGGGAGCGUAGACGGCUGUGCAAGUCUGAAGUGAAAGCCCGUGGCUCAACCGCGGAACUGCUUUGGAAACUGUAUAGCUUGAGUACUGGAGAGGCAGGCGGAAUUCCUAGUGUAGCGGUGAAAUGCGUAGAUAUUAGGAGGAACACCAGUGGCGAAGGCGGCCUGCUAGACAGAAACUGACGUUGAGGCUCGAAAGCGUGGGGAGCAAACAGGAUUAGAUACCCCAGUAGUC
rnacentral:rRNA from 1 species